AUUGAACGCUGGCGGCAGGCCUAACACAUGCAAGUCGAACGAGCGGCGGACGGGUGAGUAACACGUGAUAACCUACCUAUAAGACUGGGAUAACUUCGGGAAACCGGAGCUAAUACCGGAUACUUAUAGAUGGAUCCGCGCUGCAUUAGCUAGUUGGUAAGGUAACGGCUUACCAAGGCAACGAUGCAUAGCCGACCUGAGAGGAUGACCAGCCACACUGGAACUGAGACACGGUCCAGACUCCUACGGGAGGCAGCAGUGGGGAAUAUUGCACAAUGGGCGCAAGCCUGAUGCAGCCAUGCCGCGUGUAUGAAGAAGGCCUUCGGGUUGUAAAGUACUUUCAGCGAGGAGGCGUUACUCGCAGAAGAAGCACCGGCUAACUCCGUGCCAGCAGCCGCGGUAAUUC
rnacentral:rRNA from 1 species